CACUUAAUACCCUCUUAACACCAACCCAUUUCCUUAAUUCCCGAGACAUGUGAAUUCUUUAAUAACCAAACCUCCACAACCAUUAUACAAAUCCUGUUCUUCCACCCUCUCUGUUCUUAUAUGUGUGCGACACCAAGGGACCAUCAACUUGUUUGCCAUCUCUUUCUACUCCCAAACAGUUAGCAAACCACCGGAGUUGGAGGUCUCGCCGGAAAAUAUCACGUGUUAUCGACCACUGUGAAGAUCGGAAAACCCGUACACAACCUCAACGCCCUCUCUGUUUCGAUAACCAGCUGUCAGGGAAACCGAAACACACCGGAGUUUCGUCGGAAGAACUAGUCGGAGAUCCACUCACGUCGUAUUCGAAUUAUAGCACAUCGAAAACACCGUCGGAGAAUAACCGAAGCCACCGGAGCCGCACGGGAUCGACUGCAACUCGUUCCUUCCUCGUUUUCGUUCACCGAGCACGUCGCCGGAGUUCGAAACUUGCUGGAGAUUGGAGUUCCACCGGAGCCGUACAGAGAUCGACGGGAAUCCUUUUUAUGUUUCGGAUAACCAUUACGUUCGUUCUCUUGGAUUCACAAUACUUACUCGUGUGUUGUUUCAAGAAUUCUCACACGCAACCAAUGUUAAUUGAUGAAGUGAUGUUACAAGAUGAAACAAGAUUUAGGGUGGACUAGAUACACACCUAGAUUAAUCU
rnacentral:lncRNA from 1 species